UACGUAGGAGGCAAGCGUUGUCCGGAAUUACUGGGCGUAAAGCGCGUGUAGGCUGCUUCGCAAGUCGGAUGUGAAAGCCCUGGGCUCAACCCAGGAAGUGCAUUCGAAACUGCAGAGCUGGAGUCCUGGAGAGGAAGGCGGAAUUCUCGGUGUAGAGGUGAAAUUCGUAGAUAUCGAGAGGAACACCGGUGGCGAAGGCGGCCUUCUGGACAGUGACUGACGCUGAGACGCGAAAGCGUGGGGAGCAAACAGG
rnacentral:rRNA from 1 species